rnacentral:rRNA from 1 species
GAUGAACGCUGGCGGCGUGCCUAAUACAUGCAAGUCGAGCGAACGGACGAGAAGCUUGCUUCUCUGAUGUUAGCGGCGGACGGGUGAGUAACACGUGGAUAACCUACCUAUAAGACUGGGAUAACUUCGGGAAACCGGAGCUAAUACCGGAUAAUAUUUUGAACCGCAUGGUUCAAAAGUGAAAGACGGUCUUGCUGUCACUUAUAGAUGGAUCCGCGCUGCAUUAGCUAGUUGGUAAGGUAACGGCUUACCAAGGCAACGAUGCAUAGCCGACCUGAGAGAGUGAUCGGCCACACUGGAACUGAGACACGGUCCAGACUCCUACGGGAGGCAGAAGUAGGGAAUCUUCCGCAAUGGGCGAAAGCCUGACGGAGCAACGCCGCGUGAGUUAUGAAGGUCUUCGGAUCGUAAAACUCUGUUAUUAGGGAAGAACAUAUGUGUAAGUAACUGUGCACAUCCUGACGGUACCUAAUCAGAAAGCCACGGCUAACUACGUG